rnacentral:rRNA from 1 species
GAUGAACGCUGGCGGCGUGCCUAAUACAUGCAAGUCGAGCGAACAGACGAGGAGCUUGCUCCUCUGACGUUAGCGGCGGACGGGUGAGUAACACGUGGAUAACCUACCUAUAAGACUGGGAUAACUUCGGGAAACCGGAGCUAAUACCGGAUAAUAUAUUGAACCGCAUGGUUCAAUAGUGAAAGACGGUUUUGCUGUCACUUAUAGAUGGAUCCACGCCGCAUUAGCUAGUUGGUAAGGUAACAGCUUACCAAGGCAACGAUGCGUAGCCGACCUGAGAGGGUGAUCGGCCACACUGGAACUGAGACACGGUCCAGACUCCUACGGGAGGCAGCAGUAGGGAAUCUUCCGCAAUGGGCGAAAGCUUGACGGAGCAACGCCGCGUGAGUGAUGAAGGUCUUCGGAUCGUAAAACUCUGUUAUUAGGGAAGAACAAAUGUGUAAGUAACUAUGCACGUCUUGACGGUACCUAAUCAGAAAGCCACGGCUAACUACGUG